rnacentral:snRNA from 1 species
AGGGCGAGGCUCACCCAUUGCACUUGGGAUGUGCUGCACCCCUGCGAUUUCCCCAAAUGUGGAAAAUUG